rnacentral:tRNA from 1 species
GCCUCUGUAGCUCAACGGUAGAGUAUUUUCUUGGUAAGAAAAAAGUAACGAGUUCAAUUCUCGUCAGAGGCU